UACGGAGGGUGCGAGCGUUGUCCGGAAUCAUUGGGCGUAAAGGGCGCGUAGGUGGCGGGACAAGCGUGCGGUGAAAGCCUGGGGCUCAACCCCGGGUCGGCCGUGCGAACUGUUUUGCUUGAGCACUGUAGAGGCAGGCGGAAUUCCGGGUGUAGCGGUGGAAUGCGUAGAGAUCCGGAAGAACACCGGUGGCGAAGGCGGCUCACUGGCCCGGUACUGACGCUGAGGCGCGAAAGCGUGGGGAGCAAACAGG
rnacentral:rRNA from 1 species